GAUGAACGCUGGCGGCGUGCCUAAUACAUGCAAGUCGAGCGAACGGACGAGAAGCUUGCUUCUCUGAUGUUAGCGGCGGACGGGUGAGUAACACGUGGAUCACCUACCUAUAAGACUGGGAUAACUUCGGGAAACCGUAGCUAAUACUGGAUAAUAUUUUCAACCGCAUGGUUCAAAAGUUAAAGACGGUCUUGCUGUCACUUAUAGAUGGUUCCGCGCUGCAUUAGCUAGUUGGUAAGGUAACGGCUCACCAAGGCAACGAUGCAUAGCCGACCUGAGAGGGUGAUCAGCCACACUGGAACUGAGACACGGUCCAGACUCCUACGGGAGGCAGCAGUAGGGAAUAUUCCGCAAUGGGCGAAAGCCUGACGGAGCAACGCCGCGUGAGUGAUGAAGGUCUUCGGAUCGUAAAACUCUGUUAUUAGGGAAGAACAGAUGUAUAAGAAAAUGUGCACGUCUUGACGGUACCUAAUCAGAAAGCCACGGCUAACUACGUG
rnacentral:rRNA from 1 species